rnacentral:tRNA from 1 species
GCGGUGAUGGCGGAACUGGUAGACGCGCUACUUUGAGGGGGUAGUGUCCAUCGGACGUGUGGGUUCAAAUCCCAUUUACCGCACCA